rnacentral:rRNA from 1 species
UGGGGAAUAUUGCACAAUGGGCGCAAGCCUGAUGCAGCAACGCCGCGUGAGGGACGACGGCCUUCGGGUUGUAAACCUCAUUUGGCAGGGAAGAAGCGAAAGUGACGGUACCUGCAGAAAAAGCACCGGCUAACUACGUGCCAGCAGCCGCGGUGAUACGUAGGGUGCAAGCGUUGUCCGGAAUUAUUGGGCGUAAAGAGCUCGUAGGCGGUUUGUCGCGUCUGCUGUGAAAACCCGAGGCUCAACCUCGGGCCUGCAGUGGGUACGGGCGAACUAGAGUGCGGUAGGGGAGAUUGGAAUUCCUGGUGUAGCGGUGGAAUGCGCAGAUAUCAGGAGGAACACCUAUGGCGAAGGCAGAUCUCUGGGCCGUAACUGACGCUGAGGAGCGAAAGCAUGGGGAGCGAACA